CAGAGGGUGCAAGCGUUAAUCGGAAUUACUGGGCGUAAAGCGUGCGUAGUCGGUUAUCUAAGUCGGGUGUGAAAUCCCCGGGGCUCAACCUGGGAAUUGCAUUCGAUACUGGAUAGCUAGAGUUCGGCAGAGGGAAGCGGAAUUUCCGGUGUAGCGGUGAAAUGCGUAGAUAUCGGAAGGACAUCAGUGGCGAAAGCGGCUUCCUGGACCAGAACUGACGAUCAGGCACGAAAGCGUGGGGAGCAAACAGGAUU
rnacentral:rRNA from 1 species